rnacentral:rRNA from 1 species
AAUAUUGGACAAUGGGGGAAACCCUGAUCCAGCCAUGCCGCGUGUGUGAAGAAGGUCUUCGGAUUGUAUAUCACUUUCAGUUGGGAGGAAGGGCUUUAGGUUAAUACCCUGAAGUUUUGACGUUACCAACAGAAUAAGCACCGGCUAACUCUGUGCCAGCAGCCGCGGUAAUACAGGGGGUGCAAGCGUUAAUCGGAAUUACUGGGCGUAAAGAGCGCGUAGGUGGUUCAGUAAGAUGGGUGUGAAAUCCCCGGGCUUAACCUGGGAACUGCUUUCAUAACUGCUGAGCUAGAGUACGGUAGAGGGUAGUGGAAUUUCCUGUGUAGCGGUGAAAUGAGUAGAUAAAGGAAGGAACACCAGUGGCGAAGGCGACUACCUGGACUGAUACUGACACUGAGGUGCGAAAGAGUGGGGAGCAAAC